CCCAUCUCCCGCCCCACCACCACCGCCCCAUAUCCCGCUCUGCCGUCGCCCCUACUGCUCCACCGAACCGACCUCUUCUUCGAGCAUGAGCCGCUCCUCUCCCCGACACCCUCGUACGCGCUAGGGUUUCGUGCGCCGCCGCCGGUCCUCUCCAACACCGUGACGGGCUUCACGGCCUACUUCGGCCUCAAGCCUUAAUGCUUCCUCUGCUUCUGCGUCGACCGGCUCUUCAGCGACGAUGACGUACAUCAGGCAGCAGGUGAUGCGCGGUGGCUGCGCGAAUUCCUCUACGGCGGAGAUCUCCAGGAUGGGUGCUUGUCUUCUCGGAAGAACGAGACAAUGAAGGAUGCAGAGAAGGAAGGCAACGUGGAAGGCAACGUGGUGUGUUCUUGAUGAUGAUCGAAGAAGAUCGUGUUGGCUGCUGUUCAAGGGACGACAGCCAAAGAAGAAGAAGAUGAUUGCUAUGUUCUGCUGGAUCAGGAUUCUGGAAGACCACCAAGAGGAAUAAGACAAGCAGGCACAUGUGUACCGUCAUGAGCAGCAAAACGAUGAGUAAACCCAAGAACAUCAAGGGGGGAUUAUGUUGGCUGUGGCUGCAGUAGCGUGACAGAUCAAGCGAGCUAGGUUGUGCCAUCUCUGGUCCUCUCUCUUCGAAUGGUGGACACCAGGUGCUUACGAUCGAUCGUGACGGCGGCGGUGCAAGAGCACCGUGUAGCUGGUCUGAGAGUGGCGAUGGACUCAUUGCUCGUUGCUACUAUAUCAUCCAAAGUAGUGGCAGGGCGCAGCGGCACGAACGGCUCAGCCUCUGCCUUGUUCAUCCCAUUACCACGGAGGCGCUUUAAUUACUGACACAUCUGUUCUUAUUAUGCAACUGCAGGUGAUUUCUCAUCUUUCAACUCGGUCUAUUUUACUCGUCAUACAUGGAGAGAGUUUAUGCAAUGUUAGAUGAAGAGUUGGCGGUGCCACGGUGCCAAGGGUUGCUUCUCAAAACUGAUAAUAUCACAUAAUGCUUUUAUAUGCUUAUUGUUAAAUCACGGGCAAAUAACCCACUUCAACCCGCGUGAUAAUUAUGCAGUGAACAGAGCUUUUGUGUAAAUAAACUACCCAACUUUGUCAAGUGAGGUAAUAGAGCAAGUCUUUAAUUUGUGAUUAGUUGUUGUUCAGAUUUCAACUAGCGCUUCAUACAGAACAAUUUUGAGAGCAACUCCCUGCAAAAAAAAUAGAUCAACUAUAAUUGUUGGAAUCCUGAAGGUAGUUCCAUCGAAGUUUGUGAGUAUAUUUGCAAACCUCUGUCUAUCUAUGAAUACUAUUGUCGAGAUAGUUUAAACCAUGUUGUUGGCUUGCUACAAUGCUCAAUGGUUUACCCUUGCUCAGAUCAAUUCUGGUGUGUUUGCAGUGGGAAUGUGGGAUGGUGUAUGAAGAGAUAAAGAAAAUUAUGCUCGCAGAAUAUGAGUAUGUAGUAACAGUUCUCUGUUAUGGUUUGCGACAAUUGUUCUGGUACAUCUCAUUGGUAGUUUAUAUGUAAUGCAAUGCCAUUUUAUAAUUAUCAUGCUAAAAAGUAAUGUUACAUUAGACAUUUUAACAUAAAUGAGUUGGACAACUGAGCCCACAUUAUAUAACUAUGUAUAUUGGGACACAAUGUUUUGCCUCUGUGUCCAAAUGAGCCGGUCAUUCGUCAGUUGGAAUCCGCGCCAAAGAGUUUUCAGUGGUGUUGGUGUUCGCCAGUAGUCCAGUACAUCGAGUAUAGAACAGUCGUGUAUGCUGCAUGUGGUUACGGCGUACAGCGGAACUGACGGAACUAUUUUGAAUCUCGGUGGCUCUGUCUCAGGGUCUUCCUGUACUGAUGGUUGAAAGAUUUCCAUGUGGUCUGUGACAUGGUACAGAUUUUUCGUUUCCUCAUAACUGUGGUUAGAUAAUCAUGGAUGACGAAAGGCAAAAGGAUUCCUUGCCUUCCAAUUUAUCAGUCUUCAGUUACGCUCACGUACUGAGUGAAUAGAUUGCAAUGUUCUGUACUUCUUAUUUCUAAUUGAUUUCAUUCUCUGAUGGUUGCAUUAACUUGCCAAAUAUUUCAUCUGGCGGAUGCAUGGGAGGGGAUAUGUAUCUGCGGCUAUGCGUCUAUGGUGGCAGUGGAACAGUCCUCAUUGUAAGUGAUCUUAGAUGGGGAUGAGGUUAGCAACGAGGGCGAAAGAUGAUGAGGCUCCAGAAUCUGGAGAGUUGUUGUGAAAGCUGAGCCACAAGCACCAGGGUUGUUAUAAAAGGAAAACUCUCUCGACCCAGAUGGAAAUAAUAUUCCUGAAUUGCCUGGGAUGGUUAGUGAUAGUGAAAGUUAUGAUGACAGAUAAUUACUCCUCCAAGAAGAAGAAUCAUAAGAGCUGGCUAUUUGUGGGCCUUUUUCGUCAGUGGUAAGUCGACAUGGGCCUGGUCUGUCGGUGGCUGACGAAAGGCGGUUCGAGCCUGACGUGGUCGUCGAUGAGGAGCUUCUGGAUGUCGCCGGCGCCGGCGAUCCUCGAGGGCAAAGGUUGCGACAAGCGCUGCCGGCGGUGCUUGGGCAGCAACAAUCCGAGCAUGAGGAGGUCAAAGGCGUCGUGGUGGCGCAUUGGAUCUGGAGGAGGAGGCGGGCCAGCGCCGUUUGUACUCAAGACGUAGGAGAUGGUGGAUAGCCCAUCGACGGAAAGAACGGUCUGGUGGAGUGACACGUUGGACACGACCUUCGUGGUCUGGUGCUCGCUGGAGUUCGCAUCUUCAAGCAC